rnacentral:rRNA from 1 species
AGCGAACGUUUGCGGCGGGCCUAACACAUGCAAGUCGAACGCACUAGCAAUAGUGAGUGGCGCACGGGUGCGUAACACGUGGGUAAUCAACCCUUCAGCCUGGGAUAACGACUCGAAAGGGUCGCUAAUACCGGAUACGGCGCGAGAGGCUUCGGCUUCUCACGAGAAAGCCACGCAAGGGGCACUGAAGGACGAGCCUGCGGCCCAUCAGCUAGUUGGUGAGGUAAGAGCUCACCAGGGCUAAGACGGGUAGCUGGUCUGAGAGGAUGAUCAGCCACACUGGAACUGAGACACGGUCCAGAUUCCUACGGGAGGCAGCAGUGGGGAAUAUUGCGCAAUGGGCGAAAGCCUGACGCAGCCACGCCGCGUGAGCGAUGAAGGCCUUCGGGUCGUAAAGCUCUGUGGGGAGAGACGAAGAAAGCCUGUGAAGAGCAGGCCUUGACGGUAUCUCCUUAGCAAGCACCGGCUAACUCCGUG